GGGCCGGUAGUUAAACCUGGUAUAACGCUCGGCUGGCAGCCGAGAGGCUUCGGGUUCAAAUCCCGACCGGUCCA
rnacentral:tRNA from 1 species